rnacentral:lncRNA from 1 species
UUCAAACAUGUUCUUCCUACAAGGCUUCAAUCACCAUAGAAACAUACCCUUUUUAUGCAGAAAAUUGUAAAAAUAUAGAUAACUCUUACAGAAUAUCUGAUUACCAAGAGACAAAUAGAAUAUAUCUUGGUAUAAAUGAUCACAACAAACUUACCUUGGUAGAGUUUUCUCCUGUAUUGGCAUUAUCUAGCUUAUAAAUCUGACCAACCAGCUACAAAAUUAAAGUAUAACAUUUUUAUG